UGACUCCUCGAUAAUUAUAUCCGUUCGGAGCCUACGCAGAAUUAGCCUGAAUUGCAUGCAAAAUGCCGCGUUCGGUCCUUUGGUUUGUUGUAAAGCAAAGACUUGUGCCCAGAGCCUCAGGGACUGAGGCGGAAGUUUCAGGGGCCGCUCUGUGCUCUGCAAUUAGAUUGACACAUGUACAACAUCCCCAGCUAUUCAAGGGGGUUCGCAGGGACACUCCAAGGGGAUUUUUUUCCCCCUUUUUCUUUUUGGGUGGAAGAUAUUAAAGAGGUAUCUGUUGUUUGGCAAUUUUGCUAAGUCUGUCUUCAUUACUUCAACAUUGUGCAUUUGCUAAUUUGGAAGCCCCUUCCUAUUGACAGCUCUGCUCCAUACACCUGCAAGCAAUUUGCAGAGCUCCAAUAUAGGAGAAUUGCAGAGAUGGCAGCUCGCACCUAUUUUAUUUUUUUUUUCUUCGCUUUUCUCAAUGCACAGCAAAUUUGGCUUUCAGUGCGUUAUCUCUUUUGUUAAUGCAAAAAGAUUCCCUGGGCGAAAAAAUUGCUCAUAAUUACCAGAGAGAUGGGGAAACUGCAUUAGAAUAAAUAAACCUGAAAUUACUGUAAUUAUGUUGUGUUUGAUGGGCUCGGCUUGUAAUCAAGAAGAGAAUACAGUGAAAUGAUGCUGACCCUCUUGGGUUUGCAGCUGUACGCGCACUUUGGGGUCUUUUUUUGCAGAAAAGAGUCAUUUUGAUCAUCAUUAAGCUGUGUGUAACCUAUUUCAGAAGUGUUUGAAAAUGAGGGGCACUUUUUUUUUUUCCCCCAACAAGGAAAAAUAUAUCCCAAAAUUACAUUUUGCCAUUUACGGGCACAUCCAUAAGGUUGUAUUUGCCGGGUGACAAUUGGUAAAGGUAUAAUAUUCGAAAUCAUAGCUUAAUCAUUGUAAUGAGGUAUUGUUUCAAUAUAAGCACCUUUGGAUUAUUCAUAGUUUAAUUAAUAUCCUCAUUAUGAAAAUCUUCGAAUCAGAUAUUUGAUGAACUACUUGUCAGCAACAAGGCAGAAUUAAUUAGGCCUGUAUUGAGAUUAACAUUUUCAAAUGUACAAUUAUAAUAGCCUCUAACUCAAAACCGCCUCGCUGAGAGAAAACUGAUAAUUUCUCUAUUUGAACUGUUAGCAAGACAUUAUUGAAUUAGGAGAAGCUAAUAUAUCUUUAAAGCCCCCGAGCUGCUUGACCACCCCUCUUUGGCCCGGUCAGAGGCGUUUGGUCACCGGCAGAGCCGCCGCGGGAGCUGUGUGGGUCCUGGGGCGCUGCGGGGCCGCGGAGCCCUCCGGCUCGCUGGGCACUUCGGGCCGCUCGGGACCAGACUCGGGCCGUGGCACUGCGGGAAACGCGGAGCGUUUGCCGUGUGGGAUCCCGCACCCCGCGGGCCGCCGCGCCGCGUGUGCGCUAGGGCGGAUGCUGCACCGCCGUGCACCGGCUGAGCACCGGGGAGUGGGUGCGUACCUCGGGCCGAGUGAGCGCGGCCCCCCCGGGGCUGCACAGCCGAUCCCCCGCGCAGGAACGCGCACGGGCAGUUGGCCGAGCCCAGCCGCCGCCGGCUCCCACCGCUCUGCAGCGCUUUACCCACCCCAGCAAUAGCCACGGGUUGUGCCGGCGCCGCGCCAGCCCGGGGAGCGGGCACGGCUCAGUCCGGGGCUGGAUGACCGCGGCGGUACCGGCACAGUUUCGGCUCCCGCGGGAUGCGUGGGUACGCAACCGGCUCGGCUGUUGGGACGAGGGCCGGGGCUCUCCCGGCUUGACCACAUCCCCCUCCUGUCCCAGCAGCUGUGCCCAGUUCUCCCCGGCUCCGAGUGGCCCCUCCGCCGAGAGCCCCCCGAUUAAACAUCGGAGUUAGGCUGCCGCCGCCUAACUGGGCCCGGCUGGGCGCACGGGGACAGGCUGCCCUGUGCGGGCCGCGGCGCUCCUCCGUCUCGCCUCCCGGUCAUGGCCACCGCCGUCCCGCCGCGGAGCGCGUAGCCCGGCCCGGACCCCGCUGCCGGCCGCGCUACGGAACAGGGAGCAUGCGUGUCUCUUUUUCCAAACCAUAAUUUUA